UAUACAUGCAGUCGAGCGGACCGACGGGAGCUUGCUCCCUUAGGUCAGCGGCGGACGGGUGAGUAACACGUGGGUAACCUGCCUGUAAGACUGGGAUAACUCCGGGAAACCGGGGCUAAUACCGGAUGCUUGAUUGAACCGCAUGGUUCAAUCAUAAAAGGUGGCUUUUAGCUACCACUUACAGAUGGACCCGCGGCGCAUUAGCUAGUUGGUGAGGUAACGGCUCACCAAGGCGACGAUGCGUAGCCGACCUGAGAGGGUGAUCGGCCACACUGGGACUGAGACACGGCCCAGACUCCUACGGGAGGCAGCAGUAGGGAAUCUUCCGCAAUGGACGAAAGUCUGACGGAGCAACGCCGCGUGAGUGAUGAAGGUUUUCGGAUCGUAAAACUCUGUUGUUAGGGAAGAACAAGUACCGUUCGAAUAGGGCGGUACCUUGACGGUACCUAACCAGAAAGCCACGGCUAACUACGUGCCAGCAGCCGCGGUAAUACGUAGGUGGCAAGCGUUGUCCGGAAUUAUUGGGCGUAAAGCGCGCGCAGGCGGUUUCUUAAGUCUGAUGUGAAAGCCCCCGGCUCAACCGGGGAGGGUCAUUGGAAACUGGGGAACUUGAGUGCAGAAGAGGAGAGUGGAAUUCCACGUGUAGCGGUGAAAUGCGUAGAGAUGUGGAGGAACACCAGUGGCGAAGGCGACUCUCUGGUCUGUAACUGACGCUGAGGCGCGAAAGCGUGGGGAGCGAACAGGAUUAGAUACCCUGGUAGUCCACGCCGUAAACGAUGAGUGCUAAGUGUUAGAAGGGUUUCCGCCCUUUAGUGCUGCAGCAAACGCAUUAAGCACUCCGCCUGGGGAGUACGGUCGCAAGACUGAAACUCAAAGGAAUUGACGGGGGCCCGCACAAGCGGGGGAACAUGUGGUUUAAUUCGAAGCAACCCGAAAACCUUACCAGGUCUUGACAUCCUCUGACACCCUAGAAAUAGGGCUUCCCCUUCGGG
rnacentral:rRNA from 1 species